UAGGGAAUCUUCGGCAAUGGACGGAAGCCUGACCGAGCAACGCCGCGUGAGUGAAGAAGGUUUUCGGAUCGUAAAGCUCUGUUGUCAGAGAAGAACGUUGGUAGGAGUGGAAAAUCUACCAAUUGACGGUAACUAACCAGAAAGGGACGGCUAACUACGUGCCAGCAGCCGCGGUAAUACGUAGGUCCCGAGCGUUGUCCGGAUUUAUUGGGCGUAAAGCGAGCGCAGGCGGUUCUUUAAGUCUGAAGUUAAAGGCAGUGGCUUAACCAUUGUACGCUUUGGAAACUGGAGGACUUGAGUGCAGAAGGGGAGAGUGGAAUUCCAUGUGUAGCAGUGAAAUGCGUAGAGAUAUGGAGGAACACCGGUGGCGAAAGCGGCUCUCUGGGCUGUAACUGACGCUGAGGCACGAAAGCGUGGGGAGCAAACAGG
rnacentral:rRNA from 1 species